rnacentral:lncRNA from 1 species
GCACACCUCAUACCCAUGCCUCACAUAAUGUAUAAAAGCUGCUUUUUGGGUUGUUGGGUGCCAAAAACACGAUAACAUACUGUCAACGAGCAUUACUUUUUGCUUAAUCGGCUUUUCUUUUUCAGGUAGCGUGUGCGGCGAGCGUUACAAGAGCGAGGGGCUGAGCUCUGUAGAACCGACAUACUGCGGCGGUGGCUCAUCCCGAGCAUCGUCCGCUUAUGCGGUGCCGCACAGAGUGUACGAUGUGCCUUACGCCCAGAAAAGACCAGUGGAACAGAUAGCCAUUCAGUCUAGGAAGUCACAGAGUUCUACGGGCCUGAGUCGAGAUGGGUCUCAACUCUUCUACGUCUCGAGCAAAUCUAAAGUGUUCGACGAGGACGAAAUGCACAGGUUAUGACGCGUGGUUGCCGUCAUACCAUUGUAUUGGAGGAUAUAAUGCGAGCAGUCCUGCCGGAGAGUAAUCGCCACAUGUCUGCCCAAUAUCAAUUGGUACAAUCGGAACCAAGCGAACACUACGACCAACCUCAACGCACGAGCAUACCGAGCCUCAACGGUCGUCGGGCAUGGUCGCGCAGAAGAUCAAAUUUCGGAUUACAUUGCCAAAAAGGAAUUGCUCAGGUGGAUCACCUGGAUACGACACCUGUCGAUGAUGAUCUUUUGUUGCUAGAAAACUACAA